UUUUUAGGUUCCAAGGAUACUUCCUAACCUGCUUUUCAAUCACUGUUUCCAUGGAACAGGGAGCUAUCCGAAUCAACUCAGUGUAACAUGGUGGAAAUCAAGCCAUUGUUGUGGCUACCUGGAACGGGCAGGAAAGAAAAAUGCAGAUAAGAAAAUUAAAACCACAGACUCCUGGGCAGCGAACAAGAGCCUUCUGAUCCUAAUUCGAUCUGGAGUUAAGAAUGAAGGGGAUUUCUGUAGCAGUUUCUUUUGCAUAGCAGAGCUCCGACUUUUCCAGCAACAGCGUGUCCCUGGAAGCUACACAAAGUCCUCUUUGAUUGCCUGUGAUCAAAGCCACGAAGGCUCUCCUGCAACAUCUUAGCUUCAGAAAGCCAGGAAAAUCAGAAUGCUGAGAGUAUAUUAAUAAUUCCUAAACAUAUUUUUAAGGGUAUCAGAGCCAGGAGGGUGGCUGACUCUGAUGAUAGAACAAGAGCCAAAUAUGCUCCUGAUGCUCCAGUAGAGUGGUCUUCAGGUGAUCGAGAUUCCGAGCUCCCAAACCAAGGCAAGAAUAAGGAAACUGGAACAGGAGGGCAUGCUGGGCUCCAGCCUCCCGUGACAGUGAAACAUUGCCUUAGAAUGACUGUUGUUAAUACAAUUGAGGAAAUAUAACACGUAAUCUUGUGAUUAAGUUAUACACAAUUUGAUUUAAAUUUAGUUCCUGGCAGUUGCUAGGUUUCACUCUGGCAUACUCUCUCAGUGUGGAAGCUGCUGAUUCAGAAAGAGAUGUUCCAAAGCUCAUGUAUUUCCUGGACACAUCCAAGUACUGAAUAAAAUGCUGGUUAAAUAAAUGAGUUAAUUUUCCAAGAAAGACACCAAUUACUUUUAGAUUCUUUUGCUUUCUUAAGCAGAUGUGUACACAUUCGGAAACAUAAUUGGAGGGAGGAUAGAAUGGGGGAAAACAUGGAACUGCUGGGAGCUCAGUCAGAGACUGAAGAUGAUGCAGAGACUUAUUGAGAGGACCACAUUGGGUGCCUGGAAACUGGAAGAACAAGACACUUGGACUCCUAUUUUUUCACAAGUUGGUAGGAUGGGGACAGAAGCAUGGGAGGUGAAAAC
rnacentral:lncRNA from 1 species